rnacentral:rRNA from 1 species
AUUGAACGCUGGCGGCAGGCCUAACACAUGCAAGUCGAGCGAGCGGCGGACGGGUGAGUACUGUCUGGGAAACUGCCUGAUGGAGGGGGAUAACUCCUGUAAACGGUAGCUCAUACCGCAUACCAUCAGAUGUGCCCAGAUGGGAUUAGCUAGUCGGUGGGGUAACGGCUCACCUAGGCGACGAUCCCUAGAUGGUGUGCGAGGAUGACCAGCCACACUGGAACUGAGACACGGCCCAGACUCCUACGGGAGGCAGCAGUGGGGAAUAUUGGACAAUGGGCGAAAGCCUGAUGCAGCCAGGCCGCGUGUGUGAAGAAGGCCUUCGGGUUGUAAAGCACUUUCAGCGGGGAGGCGGUACCCGCAGAAGAAGCACCGGCUAACUCCGUGCCAGCAGCCGCGGUAAUUC